UACGGAGGGUGCGAGCGUUGUCCGGAAUCAUUGGGCGUAAAGGGCGCGUAGGUGGCCCGGUCAGUUCGUGGUGAAAGCGCGGGGCUCAACCCUGCGUCGGCCAUGAAUACUGCCGCGGCUGGAGCACUGUAGAGGCAGGCGGAAUUCCUGGUGUAGCGGUGAAAUGCGUAGAUAUCAGGAGGAACACCGGUGGUGUAAACGGACUUUCUGGACCAUAACUGACGCUGAGGCACGAAAGCGUGGGUAGCAAACAGG
rnacentral:rRNA from 1 species